rnacentral:rRNA from 1 species
CCUACGGGAGGCUGCAGUGGGGAAUAUUGCACAAUGGGGGAAACCCUGAUGCAGCGACGCCGCGUGAGUGAAGAAGUAUUUCGGUACGUAAAGCUCUAUCAGCAGGGAAGAAAAUGACGGUACCUGACUAAGAAGCCCCGGCUAACUACGUGCCAGCAGCCGCGGUAAUACGUAGGGGGCAAGCGUUAUCCGGAUUUACUGGGUGUAAAGGGAGCGUAGACGGCAGCGCAAGUCUGGAGUGAAAUCCCAUGGCUUAACCAUGGAACUGCGUUGGAAACUGUGCAGCUAGAGUGCAGGAGAGGUAAGCGGAAUUCGUAGUGUAGCGGUGAAAUGCGUAGAUAUUAGGAGGAACACCAGUGGCGAAGGCGGCUUACUGGACUGUAACUGACGUUGAGGCUCGAAAGCGUGGGGAGCAAACAGGAUUAGAUACCCCAGUAGUC